GACCGCGUAGCUCAGUUGGCAGAGCAUUGGGCUGGUAUUCCAAAGGUCGUAGGUUCGUUUCCCACCGUGGCCA
rnacentral:tRNA from 1 species